rnacentral:pre_miRNA from 1 species
UUAUUUUUGGCCUGAUCCCAGGCCCACUGAAAUCAGUGGGAGUCUUUCCAUUGACUUCAGUGGGCUUUGGAUGAGACCCUUAAAA